rnacentral:rRNA from 1 species
CACGUAGGCACCAAGCGUUGUCCGGAUUUAUUGGGCGUAAAGAGCUCGUAGGCGGUCUGUCGCGUCGGCUGUGAAAACUCGGGGCUCAACCCCGAGCCUGCAGUCGAUACGGGCAGACUAGAGUGCUGUAGGGGAGACUGGAAUUCCUGGUGUAGCGGUGAAAUGCGCAGAUAUCAGGAGGAACACCGGUGGCGAAGGCGGGUCUCUGGGCCGAUACUGACGCUGAGGAGCGAAAGCGUGGGGAGCGAACAGG